rnacentral:rRNA from 1 species
UCGGGAUAACACCUGGAAACAGAUGCUAAUACCGGAUAACAACAGAUGAUGCCUAUCAACUGUUUAAAAGAUGGUUCUGCUAUCACUCUUGGAUGGACCUGCGGUGCAUUAGCUAGUUGGUAGGGUAACGGCCUACCAAGGCGAUGAUGCAUAGCCGAGUUGAGAGACUGAUCCGGCCACAUUGGGACUGAGACACCGGACCCAAACUCCGUACGGGGAGGCAGCAGGC